rnacentral:rRNA from 1 species
GGGUUGUGAGGUUAAGCGACUAAGCGUACACGGUGGAUGCCCUGGCAGUCAGAGGCGAUGAAGGACGUGCUAAUCUGCGAUAAGCGCCGGUAAGGUGAUAUGAACCGUUAUAACCGGCGAUUUCCGAAUGGGGAAACCCAGUGUGAUUCGUCACACUAUCAUUAACUGAAUCCAUAGGUUAAUGAGGCGAACCGGGGGAACUGAAACAUCUAAGUACCCCGAGGAAAAGAAAUCAACCGAGAUUCCCCCAGUAGCGGCGAGCGAACGGGGAGGAGCCCAGAGCCUGAAUCAGCAUGUGUGUUAGUGGAAGCGUCUGGAAAGGCGCGCGAUACAGGGUGACAGCCCCGUACACAAAAGCGCAUGUGCUGUGAGCUCGAUGAGUAGGGCGGGACACGUGGUAUCCUGUCUGAAUAUGGGGGGACCAUCCUCCAAGGCUAAAUACUCCUGACUGACCGAUAGUGAACCAGUACCGUGAGGGAAAGGCGAAAAGAACCCCGGCGAGGGGAGUGAAAAAGAACCUGAAACCGUGUACGUACAAGCAGUGGGAGCCCCACCACCAAAGCAUUAUCUGGUGUUGAAGGCCCUGCAAAGCAGCAUCGCGGUGGCGGAGCGUCGUUUGCGACGCCCAACACACAAAACAAGCGGU